CAAAAAUUAUAGGUGACUCGCUAACCAGAGAAGUGUAAACAGGAACUGAAUUGAAUACUCUUUCUUUCUUUUUUUUUUUUUUUGUACCAGGGAUCGAACUCGAGUCCUUGCGCUUUCGAGGCAGGCGCCGGAACCACUGAGCUGAAUCCCUGCUUCAGUGUUUGGUAGAGAAGUUGCCUGACUAAAAUGGUACUGUGGCCAGUGAAUACAGACUGUGGCCAGUGAAUACAUAUUGGCAGGUGCCUGUUGGAAGAGUGAAAACUACAAAGAGCCAAUAAAAUUCAAUGAAUGUGAGGGACACAACAUAUAACCCAGCAAUCAUAAGUGCAAAUAUCCAUGAAUGAAGUUGGGUGAUACAGAGGAAGGAGGAAAACUUCCCCAUGGAGAGAUCAGAGGAGACUUCACAGUGAAGCAAAAUUUGAGUUAGAUUUUGGAAAAACAGGACUUGGAUAUGUGAUUAUGGAGAAGAAUGUUUUCAAACCCAAGGAGGUGCCUGUUGGGUUUUGCAGUCUGUUUUCUGUGAGAGCAGAAGUAGGUCGAGGUGUAUGUUGGGAAGACCUUGUAUUGCUGGCCCAGAAGAUGAGGUGGGGCAGACAGGAGGAAGAGGAGGACAUCGAGGUCAGCAAAGACAGACUUUUCUGGCCUUUUAGUUUUGCUGAGUGCUAUAAUUGCUUCUCUCAUCUCAGAACAUGAUGCAUCUCAUUGUCACAGG
rnacentral:lncRNA from 1 species